GAUGAACGCUAGCUACAGGCUUAACACAUGCAAGUCGAGGGGUAGCAGGUUAGCAAUACCGCUGACGACCGGCGCACGGGUGAGUAACACGUAUCCAACCUUCCCAUAACUCGGGGAUAGCCUUUCGAAAGAAAGAUUAAUACCCGAUAGUACUUAUAUAGGGCAUCCUACAUAAGUUAAAGAUUUAUUGGUUAUGGAUGGGGAUGCGUUCCAUUAGAUAGUUGGUGAGGUAACGGCUCACCAAGUCUUCGAUGGAUAGGGGUUCUGAGAGGAAGGUCCCCCACAUUGGUACUGAGACACGGACCAAACUCCUACGGGAGGCAGCAGUGAGGAAUAUUGGUCAAUGGGCGAGAGCCUGAACCAGCCAAGUAGCGUGAAGGAUGAAGGUCCUAUGGAUUGUAAACUUCUUUUAUAGUAGAAUAAAGUGAUCCACGUGUGGAUUUUUGUAUGUAUACUAUGAAUAAGGAUCGGCUAACUCCGUGCCAGCCGCCGCCGUAACAC
rnacentral:rRNA from 1 species